rnacentral:rRNA from 1 species
AAACAUCGCCKCUUGCUWAAUUAUAAGAGGUCCUGCCUGCCCCGUGAUUUAUUUUAACGGCCGCGGUAUCUUAACCGUGCAAAGGUAGCAUAAUCAAUUGUCUCUUAAAUUGGGACUAGUAUGAACGGCACCACGAGGGUUUAACUGUCUCCCCCUUUUAAUCAAUGAAAUUAACCUUCCCGUGAAGAGCCGGGAAUAUAACUAUAAGACGAGAAGACCCCAUGGAGCUUUAAACUUAUUGUCAUUUAUUUAAUAGUACAACACACUACCAGAUAAAAGUGCCUCAUAGUUUUUGGUUGGGGCGACCCUGGAGGAAAAUUAAUCCUCCAGAUUGAAAGGAUAAUAACCCUUAUAUAAGAACCACCAUUCAAAUAAACAAAAAUUUGACAAAACUGACCCAGAGUAACUGAUCAGUGAACCAAGUUACCCUGGGGAUAACAGCGCAAUCCAUUUCAAGAGCCCAUAUCGACAAAUGGGUUUACGACCUCGAUGUUGGAUCAGGGGAUCCUAGCAGCGCAGCCGUUGCUAAUGGUUCGUUUGUUCAACAGAUUAAUGCCCUACGUGAU